rnacentral:lncRNA from 1 species
UGGAUGCAAGGGAACUGGAAAUCUAAUCCAUUUUAUAAAGACAAUGGAGUGGAUGGAUCAUUAUGUUCAAUUCUUAUCUAUCUUAGCAAGGUUGAAAAAUGGUGUCCGUUAUAAAAUGGAGAACUAAAAGAAACGUUAAUUUAAUUGCAUUUUUUUUAUUGCUUCAUACUCAAAAAAUAACCUUUAUAAUUUUGAACUUGUAAAACAUUGUCUUUUAUUUGCUUUAUCUAUAUAAAUAAGGAGGAACUAUAUUUUUAUUUUCACUUUUCAUUAAAAAAAAUUUAAUUUCGUUCUUUAUAUUGUCAAAAGUAAGAUUUAAUUUAUUUUUCCUAAAAUUAGGAUUGUUUA